rnacentral:lncRNA from 1 species
CACUUAAUUGUUUUGCACUGUCAUCACUUUGGUCCAUCACACGGCACAAUUCAGAAUAAAUACCACCCGGAGGUGACUUUUUGAGUUACAUUAUCGAGUUACUAAAGCAUUUCUCAAUAUUCAUACAAUCUGAAUGUUCCUCCGCUGACCAAUAAUAAUAUUCUACUCAACUUCGGAAGGAAUCAGACCCGGAGGGGCGACAAGAAUCGGUCUGCUCAAUCAAGUUUUAGGUCCACAC